rnacentral:rRNA from 1 species
UACGAAGGGGGCUAGCGUUGCUCGGAAUUACUGGGCGUAAAGCGCACGUAGGCGGUCUUUUAAGUCGGGGGUGAAAUCCUGGAGCUCAACUCCAGAACUGCCCUUGAUACUGGCGGUCUCGAGUCCGGGAGAGGUGAGUGGAACUGCGAGUGUAGAGGUGAAAUUCGUAGAUAUUCGCAAGAACACCAGUGGCGAAGGCGGCUCACUGGCCCGGUACUGACGCUGAGGUGCGAAAGCGUGGGGAGCAAACAGG